CUGACGUUCAACCACUGGCUUACACUCAAAUACUUAGUGCAAGUGAUAAUUGGAUGCAAUAAAAUGUGCUGAGCUGCAGGCGUAUUAUCUCAUCUCAUUAUCAACCACGUUCUGAGCCAGAUACAGGAAAUGUUUAUUUUUCAGUGUGACAGCGCCUUCCAAGCAGCUAUCAGAAUGAACAAGAGAAAAUGGUAAAGAAAGACAAAUGAGAUGAAGAUGCUUCAGAACAGUCGAUGUUUGUCUGUCAUCACAAUUAUCUUUACAAUUGAGUGUAUGUUGACAAAUGUGAGAGGAAAUGACCUGGAAAGCAAUGAUGAACCAGAUGCUACGUAUGCUUUGAUUGGAGCAGGAAUUGGGCUCUUCUUUGCCAUAUGUUUUAUUGGCAGCAAGCUCUACAUUAUAAAAAAAUACAUGCUUGAUAUUGAAGCUUCAGAGGAAACCGUAAAAACUCCAUCUCAUCAAACUGCUUUUGUGGACAUGAAGGACUUAAGAAGAGUAAGCGAUGCAUGAAGUGGCAAGGAUACCAAAGAAUUUGAAGAUAAAUUUAAAUGUUUUGGGCAUGGAAAUGUAAAUAACAAUUGCAUGAUGUGUGUAUUGGAAGUGUCUAUAAACAUGUGAAAGUGGAGUCUAGACAUUAGUGUUUGGUGUGCCUGUGGUCAAGGAUAGCUAUACAGUAUACUGCAGUCCAGGCCUGGGCAAUGGCCGGCCCGGGGGCCAUACGCGGCCAGCGAUCUGAUUCAAUGCGGCCCGUGGAAUCAUGCUCAGAUCACAUAAAGAAUUUGAAAUGGUAAAGUUUUUUAAAACGUAGUUGUUAUUCAAAUUAAAAGUCCAAUGAAGACUC